rnacentral:snoRNA from 1 species
CAGGAGCCUAAAGAGAUGUCUUUCUAUAGUCUGUUGGCCAUUUCAGAACACGGGCAGUGAAAUGGUCAAUUCAUUAGAAAGAAACAGCU